GCCUAAGAAGCAACAGUUCGAGCGGUGGUUUGUGCUCUGGUGACCUUCACUCAGCUGACUCCCAUCUUUGGACUUGAUCACCUCGAGGAAAGAGCUCAUUGCUCCACAUGUGCUUUCCCAUUCAACACAUUUUUAGUAAGCCUGUACCAACUGCGAGGGCAUUUGUGCCCUGGAUCCCGUCUCCUCCUUAUGUACACUGAAAAGGCCUAGAAACAAGGACCUGUACCUGUGGAAAUCAGCAGACCAAGAGCCAAGAUCUUAGUUUCUGAAUACAACAUUCCCCACUGAAAAGCAACUGGUUCCUUGGAAAAAUAGCUGACUCUAUGUCAGGGGCAGAGAAAAUACAAGGCUCAAGUCAUGUCUAUUUGUCUGACAUCAAAUCCCAAGUUACACUGAAGCAGGACUUAAUAGACUGGGGGGGAGUCCAGACUGG